GUGGGGAAUUUUGGACAAUGGGCGAAAGCCUGAUCCAGCAAUGCCGCGUGUGUGAAGAAGGCCUUCGGGUUGUAAAGCACUUUUGGCAGGGAAGAAACAGUGCGUGCUAAUACCAUGCGCGAAUGACGGUACCUGCAGAAUAAGCACCGGCUAACUACGUGCCAGCAGCCGCGGUAAUACGUAGGGUGCAAGCGUUAAUCGGAAUUACUGGGCGUAAAGCGUGCGCAGGCGGCUUUGUAAGACGGAUGUGAAAGCCCCGGGCUCAACCUGGGAAUUGCAUUUGUGACUGCAAGGAUAGAGUGUGACAGAGGGAGGUGGGAUUCCGCGUGUAGCAGUGAAAUGCAUAGAGAUGUGGAGGAACACCGAUGGCGAAGGCAGCCUCCUGGGAUAACACUGACGCUGAGGUACGAAAGCAUGGGGAGCAAACAGGAUUAGAUACCCCGGUAGUCC
rnacentral:rRNA from 1 species